rnacentral:pre_miRNA from 1 species
UUGGUACUCCCUCCGUCCAACAAAAGAUGUCUCAAGUUUGUCAAAAUUUGGAUGUAUCUAGACAUGACUUAGUGUAUAUAUGUAUACAAAUUUAGUCAAAAUUGAGACACCUUUGUUGGACGGAGGAAUGUUAUUU